GACCCAUGACUAAGCAGGCGAGUGAGUAAGCGAUCUAGCCGAGAGAGCCGUUGGCUGCCAGCCACUAGUGAUGAGGAUCAAGCCUCAAAAAGUCAGCCUCAAAAAGUAACCCUGAUUUUUCUUUCGUCAGGGUUGCCUUGGUUCUCAAACCUUCGCUAUCCAGGUUUUCUGGCAACCUUGAAUUUGAAAUUUGAUUUGUUCCCAUCACAACUAGCCACACAAUAUUUGGCUGGAUUGGAAGUGGGCCAUUCUCCAGACCCUUUGAGCCCGAGGGUUUUGGUCGUCAAGCAGCUCCUCCUGCUUCAUCUUCUGCCGAGUCAGCCUGCUAGCCCAGGGUUCUGGAAGCCGAAUUUGUGACCAGCAGACUGAACACCACUGGCCAGGGCACAGCGUCAAACGGCGUAAGAGGCCAGCCACCAAGCCACGCAGGCGGGAAGUUAGCCAUCCAGCUUUCGAGCCAGCCAUCCAGCCAGCCAACCAGCCAGCCAGCGAGGGAGAAUACCGUUUACCCUACAGCGAGCUAGCUACCAAUUCAAUUCACCACCCACCCUUAAGGACCGCCCAUCGAAAUAGCGGCACUCGGUUCGUGGAGUUAUUGUGGGACACAAUCUACCGCUCGGAAAGGUAUGCACUUGAUCCUAAGAUCGAGCUGCCCGUUCGCCUUACUGGCGGAUCGAGCCUCUGGAACGGCCCGGAAUUCCCGCCAAAUUCAGACACACAUGCACACUCACCCAUGCACCCACAUAGGUAUAUAUAUAUAUACUUUGAUUGACGCACUCACUCAGGCACACAACACAAUCAUGACAACAACAAAAACAAGGAUAGAGGGAGGACUUUGGAUGGCCUUUGUAGGCCAAUCAUCUUUGUAGCUGUUAACAUUAUCAUCAUUACCAUUAUCAACAUCGAUCAACAAACCCUCUGAAAUGGGCAACAGCGGAAAAUGGGAGGCGACGCCGUUCCACCUAAUUCCUACAAGGAGGCGACUUGGGAGGUGGUAGGCGCAAGAAAAGUUGGACGAGUCGAGGGCAAGAUGCAAGGAGGAAAAAAGCCUAGCAGAAGAGUAGAAAAUGAUCAUCCGUGACCAGCUUUCUUACAGAUCUACUUUGACAUCUUUUGAGAGUCUUGUGUUCCCCUGUGACUAGACCAUCUGGUGUGUUUCCUUUUGCUUGAUGAAGUGUUUUUGACCUGCAAAGGUUUAAAUUUCCAAAGGUCCGUUAAUAAAUAAAUAGAGAGUUA